GGGGGGGGAUUGCUUGGAUUGCAAGCACUAGUAUUAUGAAAUUUUCCGGGUUAGUCCACUUCGUCCUCUUAUUAUAUACUACUAGAUGUGCCCCGUCGUCUUUCAGUAUAGUCAUUACCUUAUCUAUUUCCCAUUGUGUUGUAUUAUUACUUAUUUUCUACAAUACUGAUCGUGCUUUUAGCCUAUAAUUGGUGAUAAUGGCAACAGUCGAUUCUAAACCCCAAUUGUGAGGUUUGUGACUUCCAUGUGCUUAUUGUGAAAUAGAUAUGAUAACUAGAGUGCAAUUGCAAUAUUGGACUGCUGCAACCCUUAAUUAUGCAGGUAUAUUAUAGCUAUGUCUUCAGUGUUUCCGAGCAUUUUUAUGUUAUCAUGAUCUUUGCAUCCUCUGUCAGAACAAGCUCUUCACAGAAUCACAUAUAUCUUUUUUCUUGAAAGAAACACAUUUAGGCCCUGUUUAGUUUGAUGUAAAAUGUUUUCAUGGAAAAUGAGUUUCCCAUUUUCCUUUGUUUGAUUUGUGAAGAGGUGGAAAAUAAUAUUCCAAAUGGUGGAAAAUUGCAUCCAUAAUAGGGGAAAACAUUUUUCUUUAUAAAACAUGAGAAGCCACAUUUUCCUCCCUUUCCCUUAUCUCCUUUUUAUUUUUCUCUCAUCCAUCUCCACGUUUCCAUUCCUAUUUUUAAUUUCUCUUAAUUUUUCUUGUAAGAACCAAACAAAGGAAAACUAUCUUGCAAGUGUGGUUUUCAUUGAAAAUAUGUUUUUCAUUAAAACUAGUUUUUUAUUGAAAAUAUAAUACAUCAAACCAAAACGGGGCCUUAAGUUGCCUAAUUUUUUAUAGUAUAACAUCUCUGCUUUAUCUGAAAACUGUUGUUUACUCAAGCUUUUUUCCCCCCUCUCUUCUUGGAGCACAGGUGCAGCUUGUGAGUCUGUAUUGACAAUAUUGAUUGCUCAAUUCAGAUCAUAUUAGAAGGUUCAACACUUACAGGCUUGAAUUCUGAAUCUGGUGGUGGUACAGCUGCAUAGGCUUGGAUAUUAGAUCUUGUACUCUAUUUGCAGGAUAUUAUAAGAUUAUUCCGGUUGAUUAAUCUGAUUGUGGUUGCACCAACAAUGGCUGCUGUAGGUUUAGCAUUUUUCAGCUACGGGUUUCCUCAAGCUGGCAGUUGUGUUGAAAUAAGCAUACCCCUUAUAGUGUUGCUUCUUUUCUUCACCUUGUGUUGUGCCUGCUGUGCUGUGAUGUCGAGUUUUCCUGUGUUGGUGUGAUGCGUUGCUGUGUUGCUGUCUGCUUCCUUUUGCAGUGCUGUGUUGCGGUUUCUGGGGUGCUCUGAUGCUGAGUUGAUGUGCUUGCUCUGCUGCUUUGGUGUUGCGCUGUGUUUUAUUAUUUUUGUAGCCUGUUGAGCUGCUUAGUUUGGGCUGUUUAAUUUAGUUAGAUGUUUGCUGUUUAUAUGCUUCAUUAGAACAGGUUUUUGGAGUAUUAGAAGUAAAUUUUGUAACUUUAUAUAUAUGUUAGUGUUUAUAUAUCAAUUUUAGUGAAAAAA